ACACACCGCCCGUCACACCAUGAGAGCCGGUAAUACCCGAAGUCAGUAUCCUAACCGCAAGGGGGAGCUGCCGAAGGUACGGAUUGGCGAUUGGGUGAAGUCGUAACAAGGUACC
rnacentral:rRNA from 1 species